CUACAAAGAUAGCAACACUUUUCAUCAACAGCAGUUCACCUAGAGAGAGUCGACACUUUUUGUCUGAGUGA
rnacentral:snoRNA from 10 species